UUCCAUCAGAAGACGAACUCUGCCGGGGAAUACAAGAGAUAAAACUCUGAAUGGGGAAUCAAUCAAAUUGUUGGGGAUGCUGUGACCUGUUUGAACGAACCAAAGACCAUAAAGUUCCUCAAUAUUCAUCAGAUUCUUCUUGUAAAUUGCGAAAUAAACCAAUUCCAAGGCAAAAAUAACCGGAUCAGGCUCACACAGGGGAGAAACUA
rnacentral:lncRNA from 1 species